UGUGCUGUAUUGAAUCCUCAUACUAAAGGACAUGAAACAUCACGACUUCAGCAGGAGGCUACUGGUGCUCUCUGUCCUUUCAACUAUCUUUGAUUCUCUUAAUGCGGUCGAAGUCUGUUCCAACACUAUUCUGCCAGGAUCUAAAGGAGACCUGGGUGAAGGGGGAGGCGAGGGAGACCAAGGACGGCUGGGAAAGACCGGCCCACCAGGACUACUAGGUCUGACAGGGGAGCUCGGAGAUAAAGGAGAGCAGGGCCGGACGGGGAAGUUGGGUCCUGCUGGAGACAAAGGUAAUCAUUUAGUAAUCAGACUGAGAAAUAUUCUGCUUACGGAGAAGAAAACUGUUCUGGCUGCAUCUCAGGCCAAUGAUACAGAGGCCGUGGCUCUACUGGCACCCUAUUCAG